GAAUCCAACAAAUGAAAGAACACCAGCACAACCACCAUGUUUUUCACAGAGCAGACCCAAUGAAAGUAGCAUAUGUAACUUAGUCAUGCCCAUUAACUUCAGUGGUUCUACUCUGAGACUGUGUACAUUCCCUUUAAAGCAUGCUCAAAGCAUACCCCUCCUCGAAUGCUGGGAACUCCAAUUUGUUGAGGGUGCUGGAAUGGUAGCUCUCUCUCUUGAGGUGCAAACUGCAGUCCCCAGGAUUUUGGGGGGCAGGAAUGUGCUUUAAAGGUUAAUUUCAGCUCAGUCCAUCUGGAAGAAUGAUCUGCAGGUGGCUGGUUCAAGACCUGUUGGUACUCAAGGCAGAAAAUCCAAAUGGCUGUUUCCUCCCUGCACAGAAAUUAACAGGUAAGUUCAUGAAGAUACCAACAAAAGAUAAGUUCGAUGUUGUUCACAAUACCGAGAGAUGCUAGUGAAGUUGUAGAUGGAUGUUAAUAAAGUUGUAGACAGGGUGCCGGCGUUUCGCACCUGUUUCGCCCUGGUAGUCCAAGUAAUCAAGAUCUUAAGCCAAGAAAUUAAGCCUAUGAAAUUGAAUAUCAAGAUACAUAUCAAGGCUUUGAGAUUAGACCACUGAAGAAGCCCGGAAAACUACCUUGGGAGUGUGUUACCUGCAAGCCCCAGUAAAAGGGCCCCAUCAGGGGUGAACAGCGGCCUCUUGAUUACUUGUGUGUAUAUUAGUCGUCAAUGUGUUGCAUGAAUCGUACUACAUGUUUCCAUUGAAAGCAUGGAAGUAGCCCUGUGGUUUUAAUUUCCAGAGUGGACAACUGUGCUGGUCUGUUGCAAUGCAGAGAAGCUUGAAAAUUACAAUGUUCCUUGGGGCAUAAGUCAGUUUCCUCUUUCUUGGGAAAAGUUUUGGUUAGUUCAAUAGUAGGAUACCUACUCUGCAUGCAGAAGGUCCCAGGUUCAACCUGUAGGUUCUCCUGGUAGGGCAGGGAAUAUCCCCUAUUCAAAACCCCCUAGAAAUCAGCUGUUAGUCCAUGUAGGACCGCUAGUCUGACUCUGCAGUAUACAGUAGCUUCCCAUGUUCUUGUUUAAAUUGGCCUUAAAUUCAGAACAAAGAGAACUGGAAUCUUACUUCAUUCAUAGGGGAAGGGUUGUCACUCCUUGGCAGAGUGCCGUCUGCCUUGCAUGUGGAAUGUGAACUCUUUAUUAGUUGCCAGGUCUUUAUGUCCUGCACAGCUAGAAACAUGCCAAAAUACAGUUUUCACAUUUUGCACUUGCCAUUUGAGGAGAGGAUACUUUAAUACCCACCUUCAGUUAUCGUGUGGUAGCAUUUGCAGAAAUGCUAGGGAGUACCUGAUCUCAGACAAACCCGUGUCAGGAAAGAAGCCUCCUGGUUGCUAGAGGAAAAGGGCAAACUGCAGAGGUUCCAAAGACUACUAGAAAAUAAGACAGAAGCAAUACUGAAUAGGAGGAGAGAAAAAAGCACUUUAGAACUCCUAGAUUCCUAUUGCCUGAUGUGCAAAUUACUCACUUAUUAAUCACAGCUCAUUGGCGAAUAACUGUGACACAUGGAAGCAGGUCGGCUCAUUUCACAAAAGUCACUUAGGAGCAUAGUGUUGGUUUUUUGUUCUGUAUUUGGUUUAAAAGUAUAAAAUAAAAUAAAUGUAUAAAAUAAAAUAAAAUAAAAAGGAGUGUUACCUGGAUUCCUAGAUCCAGUUUUAGGGCAAGUACUCUUUGGUGAGAGAGCCCCAGCCGAGAUUUAAAAUCGCAAAAUAUGCAGCAAAGUAAAAUGCAGAAAUAUAGGCUGUUAUACCUUUAAAAUAUGCAUUUCUAAGUUGCUUACAAAGUUCCCUUCUUCCUUAGCAUAGAAAGAGACCACACAUUUGGUUUAAAAUGGUUUACUUAAACUUCAAAGGUCAUGUGCUUUUCCAUGCAGCAGCAAGAAAAGUCAAGCAGUAUAACUUAGGUUUUUCCAAAAUGAUAAAAUCAGGGGCGCCGACUUGCCCCCCACAUUGCAGGGGUGCAUCAUGUGAUGCGUUAUGUUACAUGUCAUGUGAUUUGUCUCGUCCACACCUAGCACAUGAGCUGGAAUAUGUGGGUGUUCUGCUGCUGUGAUGCUGGCGCUUGUGUGCUGGGUGGGGAAUGGAGAACAUGCAGCUGGGCUCCGCGUUUGGUCUCCUCCUCCCCGUGUGACAUUGGGCGGGGAGGAGGAGGCAUAGCAGGCCACAGGAUUUGGGGAGAGCCCAGCCCCCACCCUGAAAAAUGGGGGAGGGAGGCUGAAGACCCAUCAGUCCCCACCACUUGGCACGCCUGGAUAAAAUGUUUCUAAAUUAUUUGUAUAGAAGCACAAAGAUGGCUUGCUUAAGCCACAUGGUGUAACCUUGGAGCAUGCAGCUUAGACCUCACAUGGUAGAAGUGAAAGAAAAAGGUUUGGUAACCCUUCCUCCCAAGGUAAGAGGCAGAGACCUAGCAAAUUCCAUCAGGACAGCUUACUCUAUGGUAUUAACCCCUUCGUGCAUUAGAGUGAAGCAUAUUGGUUAUAUGAAGCUAGAUAUCCUACCAAUACUGGCACAUUCUGAAUCAUCAUUGAAUUGUAGAAUUGGAAGUGACCCCAAAGAUAAUCUAGUCCAACUCCCUGCAAUGCAGGAAUCACAACUAAAGAAUCCCUGACAGGUGGUCAUCCAACCUCUUCUUAAAAACCUCCAAUGGAGAGCCCACCACCUUCUGAGGGAGUCCAUUGUCAAACAGCUCUUACCAUCAGAAUCCAUUGGUUCAGGUCCUGCCCUCUGGAGCGGCAGAAAACAAGCUUGCUCCUUCUUCCAUGUGCCCUUCAUUUAUUUGAAGAUGACUGCCAUAUCACCUAUUGGUCUUCUUUUCUCCAGGCUAAAGAUACCCAUCUCCUUCAACCAUUCCUUACAAGGCUUGAUUUCCAGUCCCCUUAUCAUCUUGGUUGUCCUCCUCUGCACAUGUUCCAGCCUGUCAGAACUGGACACAGGACUCUAACUGUAGUCUGACCAAGGCAGAAUAGAGUAGUACUAUGACUUCCCUUGAG